UACGUAGGGUGCGAGCGUUGUCCGGAAUUACUGGGCGUAAAGAGCUCGUAGGUGGUUUGUCGCGUUGUCCGUGAAAACUCACAACUCAAUUGUGGGCGUGCGGGCGAUACGGGCAGACUGGAGUACUGCAGGGGAGACUGGAAUUCCUGGUGGUAGCGGUGGAAUGCGCAGAUAUCAGGAGGAACACCGGUGGCGAAGGCGGGUCUCUGGGCAGUGAACUGACGCUGGAGGAGCGAAAGCGUGGGGAGCGAACAGGAAU
rnacentral:rRNA from 1 species